GGAGAAAAGGCAGCUUACAGGUGAACCUUCUCAUUUCUACAACUACCUGAAAGGAGAUUGUAGCAAGACUGUACUGAUACUGGGAGUUACCUGAACUUCUGAGGCAGAGGUGAGGCUGACAGACAGGGUUGAAUUGUGCAUAUGGAGGAGUGACCAGACAGAGGUUGGAGCUUCAUUUCCAUUCAGUCCUUGGCCUUUGUCCUGACUUUGCCAUUGAGGAGAGCGAUUAAUGCCAGACGAGACAUGGCUUUUUUGAAGGAAAUGCUAGCCUGCUAUGAUCAGUAUUGGCACCAGAGAGAAAACAAAUAACAUUUCCAGACUUCAAAAGAGACAGAGCAAUAGCAAGAACUACAGUAAUCAUAAACAUAACAAUAAAUUUCUUUUUUUUUUUUCCUAUUACCUGAAAGCUUACAAGCCUGCUGGUGGUUUGGGCAAAGACAACGAAGCUAAAUGCACAUUUUAAUAAAUUGUCUUUACCUGUGACCUUUCUCUAUUCUUAAUCCA